AAGGAAUUAGAAAGGAUGAUUUCAAGUAUAAAUAGGAAGAAUAAUAGAAAGAAGGGCAGAAAGAGAAUUAUGGAUUCCAAGAAGAAAAGAGGAAGAAGAACUAUGGUUUUGCCAAGCAGGAAGAAGAAAUAGAGCUUAAAUACAGAGAAGAAAAGAAACAGAAGAAAAAGAAGGGAAAAGAAAGAAAAUUAGAGGAAAAGAAGGAAGAGAGAGAAUAAUUAGAAGGAAGAAGAAAGACAGGAAAAACAGAAAGAAACCUGAAUCUGGACAUGGAU
rnacentral:misc_RNA from 1 species